rnacentral:lncRNA from 1 species
UUUGCUAACUUUUAUUCCCAAUUCCCAAGAUACUAAUUAAGUAAGCCCUGGAUAUUCAAAAAGCACUGGUAGAAUUUAGAUCACUUUAUGACAAAAUCUCAGGCUUUUGUAUUAAUGUGUUUUAUGUAUUUCCACUUUUAAUGCUUAUGAUUAUAAACACAGGUAGACAAUAAGGAUCAAAAAGAUUCCUUGGAUCUUGUUUAAGCCAAUAACUAAAGACUCUCUUUAGUAAUCACAUUAUGUUAGGAAGAAAAGAAUACAGAGAAAAAUUCUUUAAAAUGCAGCAACAUAGGGACCCUGGAGUAUGAGGGUCAGCUGCAUCUAUGUGAUAAUAUCUAGAUCAGGGGGCAUGAGUUUUUCUCUAAAGGGCAUAGCUUCUCAGGCCA